CGGCGACGGAUCAUUCAAGUGUCUGCCCUAUCAACUUUCGUCGGCACGGUAUUUGCCUACCGAGGUUCUUACGGGUGACGGGGAAUCAGGGUUCGAUUCCGGAGAGGGAGCCUGAGAAACGGCUACCACAUCCAAGGAAGGCAGCAGGCGCGCAAAUUACCCAUUCCCGACGCGGGGAGGUAGUGACGAAAAAUAACAAUGCAGGACUCGUUCGAGGCCCUGUAAUUGGAAUGAGUACACUUUAAAAGCUUUAACGAGUAUCCAUUGGAGGGCAAGUCUGGUGCCAGCAGCCGCGGUAAUUCCAGCUCCAAAAGUAUAUAUUUAAGUUGUUGCGGUUAAAAAGCUCGUAGUUGGAUUUUGGGCGCAGGCGGCCGGUCCGUCGCAAGGCGUGUACUGGACGUCCUGGCCUUCCCUCCGGUUCUCCGCCGGUGCUCUUGACUGAGUGUCGGCGGCGGCCGGAACGUUUACUUUGAAAAAAUUAGAGUGUUCAAAGCAGGCUCUCGAGCCUGGAUAAUGGUGCAUGGAAUAAUGGAAUAGGACCCCGGUUCUAUUUUGUUGGUUUUCGGAGCGCGAGGUAAUGAUUAAGAGGGACAGACGGGGGCAUUCGUACUGUGCCGUUAGAGGUGAAAUUCUUGGAUCGGCGCAAGACGAACCACUGCGACAGCAUUUGCCAAGAG
rnacentral:ncRNA from 1 species